CAUAGAUCAACAAACACCAGGAGGUGGAAACACAUAAACCUGAUUUGACAUUCACCAACAGAGAAACACAACUCCAACCACCCUUUGUUUUUAUUUUCGUCAUUUAUUGUAAUUCUUUUAUACCAGGAUUACCCCACAAAAUUCAAGAAGAAACAGAGGAUUUGAAGUACAAAUCCGUCUGGUCCAAGUUAUUUUUUUUUUUAAUACUUGCAGGGAUUGCACUCCAACAGACAUCUAAUGGUUUCAACCCCCUCGUAUUUUUUUGACCCUUUGAAAUUUCAUUCUCGGUUUUUCUCUGUAUAUGAGUUCUGAGGAAAAAAGGAAUUACAAGUUGCAGAAGAACACGAGAAGGAGAAGGAGAAGAAGGAAGAAGAUAACACAAACAGCUACAUAAAUGUCAGAGCAUGUAACAGAUUCCUGGGGCUUACUGUUUAUCUGUUCUUUAAUCCUUUUCUCAGCGGGUAAAAUAGUUGCCGGAGAUUCUUUGGACACAGACAGAGAAGUUUUGCUUCAGCUCAAAUUAUACCUCAACAAUCAAACUCUAGUAGACCAAGGACAAUACACAAACUGGAACACGACCAGUUCGAAUCCUUGUGAAUGGUCGGGAAUCUGGUGCAGCGGCAAUGGAACAACGAGGAGAGUGGUCGGAGUCAACCUCACCGACAACAAAAUCACCGGCGGGAUAUUCCAGAACUUCUCUCGGCUCACUGAGCUCAGACACCUUGACCUUUCCCGGAACACACUCUCCGGCAAGAUUCCGGCGGACUUGAGGCGGUGCCGAAAGCUCGUGUAUCUCAAUCUCUCCUACAAUAUUCUUCCCGAAGAGUUGAAUUUAAUUGGCUUGACAAACCUUCAAAUUCUUGACUUAUCAGGCAAUAGGCUUCACGGGGAUCUCGGCUCUAAUUUCCCUGCCAUUUGUGACAACCUGAUCAGCUUGAAUAUCUCAGGAAAUAACUUCACGGGUAGGACUGAUGAGUGCUUCGAUCAGUGUUUGAAAUUGCAGUACUUGGAUUUGAGCACUAAUAAGCUUAGAGGGCAUAUAUGGAUGGGAAUUGCGAAGCUGAGAAUGUUUUCCGUCUCAGAGAAUUCUCUCGGCGGGAAAAUUCCUCCGUCAGCUUUUCCAGUGCAGUGCAAUCUUGAAUUUCUUGACAUUUCAGAGAAUAUGUUCGGAGGAAGUGUCCCUAAGGAGGUUGCCAACUGCAAGAAUCUUACGACUCUGAAUCUAUCUAGCAACGAAUUGGAUGGACCGAUACCUAAAGAAAUUGGUUCGCUUUCUCGGAUGGAGGCAUUAUACUUGGGGAACAACAGUUUCUCAAGAGACAUCCCAGACGAACUCUUGAACUUGACCAAUUUGGCAUUCUUGGAUUUAACUAGAAAUCAAUUUGGUGGGGACAUACAAGAGAUAUUUGGGAAAUUCAAGCAGGUGAAGUAUCUUCUAUUGCACUCAAAUUCUUACACUGGAGGAUUAUCUUCAUCAGGAAUUCUCAGAUUACCAAACAUUUUACGCUUGGACCUAAGCUACAACAACUUCUCAGGUCCAUUGCCCACAGAAAUCUCACGAAUGUCAAGCCUGAAGUUAUUAAUGUUAGCCUACAAUCAAUUCACUGGACCUAUUCCACCUGAAUUUGGAAACUUGCCUAGCCUUCAAGCUCUUGACUUAUCAGUCAACAACUUAUCUGGGCCAAUCCCACCAACUCUUGGAAACUUGACCUCUCUUUUAUGGCUCAUGCUUGCAAAUAAUUCAUUAACAGGUGAAAUCCCAAGAGAGUUGGGAAACUGUUCGAGCUUAUUAUGGCUAAACCUUGCAAAUAAUAAACUCACAGGAAAAUUCCCACCUGAAUUGACCAACAUAGGGAGAAACGCCAUGGUCACAUUUGAAUCAAAUAGGCAAUAUGACACAGUCAGUGCUGGCUCUGGUGAGUGCUUAGCCAUGAAGAGAUGGAUUCCUGCAGAUUACCCUCCAUUUAGUUUUGUUUAUGACAUCCUUACGAGGAAGAAUUGCAGAAGCAUUUGGGACAGAUUGCUUAAAGGACAUGGGAUUUUCCCGAUUUGCAGUGCAGGUUCAUUUUCACCAUAUCAAAUCUCUGGCUAUGUUCAGCUAAGUGGGAACCAACUCUCAGGUGAAAUUCCUCCAGAAAUUGGAACCAUGCAGAACUUGAGCAUGUUGCAUUUAGGGUUUAAUAAAUUUUCUGGGAAACUACCUGCACAGGUGAAAAGUAUACCGCUUGUGGUAUUGAACAUAACAAGAAACAAGUUUUCUGGAGAAAUCCCUAGCGAAGUUGGAACCAUGACGUGUUUACAGAACCUUGAUCUCUCCUACAACAAUUUUUCUGGGGUUUUCCCCCCAAGUUUGAACAGCUUGUCCGAACUCACCAAGUUCAACAUUUCUUAUAAUCCCUUGAUUUCAGGUGAGAUUCCAUCGCCAGGACAACUAGCUACGUUCGAGAAAUACUCAUAUUUGGGGGAUCCCCUCUUGGAUCUCCCAAGCUUCUUCGACAACUCCACCGAUGAUCACAAAAACAAGACUAACAGACCAAUCAAAAAAUCCACGAAUGUCUCUGUUUUCCUGGUGUUCUUCGCUCUCAUUCUGGCUUUCUUAGUGUUCGGUCUUCUUACUGUCAUAGUCUGUCUACUGAUAAAAACGCCGUCGGAAGAACCACUUGUGAGAGACAUAAAACUCGACCCUGAGUCUGGAACCUCAUCCCCAUGGUUGUCGGACACAGUUAAGGUUAUUCGACUGGACAGGACAGCUUUCACACACUCUGACAUCUUGAAAGCCACGGGAAAUUUCUCAGAAGACAGAAUUAUAGGCAAAGGAGGCUUCGGAACAGUGUACAGAGGUGUAUUUUCAGAUGGGAGAGAAGUGGCAGUGAAAAAGCUCCAAAGAGAAGGACUUGAAGGCGAAAAAGAAUUCAGAGCAGAAAUGGAAGUUCUAUGCGGCCAUGGCUUCGGUUGGCCCCACCCAAACCUCGUCACACUCUAUGGUUGGUGCCUCGACGGUUCGGAAAAAAUAUUGGUUUACGAAUACAUUUCAGGUGGAAGCUUAGAAGAUCUCGUCACCGACAGAACAAAAUUCACUUGGAAACGACGGCUAGAAGUAGCCAUUGACGUUGCUCGAGCUUUGGUUUACUUACACCACGAAUGCUACCCUUCAAUCGUUCACAGAGAUGUGAAGGCAAGCAAUGUGUUGUUGGACAGCAAAACAGGGAAGGCCAAAGUUACGGACUUUGGGCUAGCCAGAGUAGUUGACGUUGGAGACAGCCACGUCAGCACGAUGGUGGCUGGGACGGUGGGGUACGUGGCGCCGGAGUACGGCCACACAUGGAAGGCGACGACGAAAGGUGAUGUGUACAGUUACGGAGUGUUGGCUAUGGAGCUGGCGACUGGAAGAAGAGCAUUGGACGGAGGAGAAGAGUGUUUGGUGGAAUGGGGAAGGAGGGUGAUGGGUCAUGGAAGCAAUAAGCCGAUCGGCCGGGCGGUGAUUCCGGUGGCGCUGAUGGGUUCUGGCUUACUUGAAGGUAUGGAGGAGAUGGUGGAGCUGUUAAGAAUAGGGGUGAGAUGCACGGCGGAGACACCGCAGGCCAGGCCGACGAUGAAGGAGGUUCUGGAUAUGCUUAUCAAGGUGUAUAACCCCAAGGCAGAUUCAAGCUGUGAACAUACGAGUCAUUAAUAAUGUCAAGAAAGUCACUCCCUUCAUUAUGUUCAAGGAGUGGCUCAAGCUCAUGGUUGUGCUACACAGGGCAAAGAAAUAAUGGCAAACAGAAUCUUCAUCAGUAAUAAUGACAACUUAACUAUAUAUUUUCCAGCAGGAAUCAAAGAAUUAUGUAAUCUUCAUUAUUUUCAUGAAUCAUAGAGCAAAUCCACAGAAUUUUUUUUCUCAAAAAUUAAAAACCAUCCACACAAACAAAAGUGGCAUAACAGUCAAUAAUUUGGCCUUCAUAAGGUGCAUCUGUCAUGGAGCGUCUGCUUUAUUGGUACCAGGUCUGUUCAUUUUAUUCCCUAUGAUUCAUGUACCAUAUUAUUGCUGUUUGACAACACGAGUUCAUCAUGUUCCCAACGUUUUAGAAAUUUAUUUAAAUGAUCCCUCCUUUGUCUCAUCUCAUCAUGAGUUCCAUUCAAUUACGUAAAACUAGUAGCCACUUGUAUCUUAAUAGAUCGGGUACAUGAAUUGUAUGGUAUGAUUACACUUUAUGAACAACCCAUUACUUCAUUUGAUAAUUACUUUGACACUGUUAACCAGAAACUUUCAUUUGAUAACUUGUUUUUGAAAUUUUUUUGGAUAUUUUGGAUACGGUGUCAAGGUCACUCGUUUGACCCUCCUCAUUAAUUUACACCUUCAUGAGCAAUAUAUAUGUA